CCGCGCGGUGAGGUUGUCUAGUCCACGCUCGGAGCCAUGCCGUCCAAGGGCCCGCUGCAGUCUGUGCAGGUCUUCGGACGCAAGACAGCGACAGCUGUGGCGCACUGCAAACGCGGCAAUGGUCUCAUCAAGGUGAACGGGCGGCCCCUGGAGAUGAUUGAGCCGCGCACGCUACAGUACAAGCUGCUGGAGCCAGUUCUGCUUCUCGGCAAGGAGCGAUUUGCUGGUGUAGACAUCCGUGUCCGUGUAAAGGGUGGUGGUCACGUGGCCCAGAUUUAGCUAUCCGUCAGUCCAUCUCCAAAGCCCUGGUGGCCUAUUACCAGAAAUAUGUGGAUGAGGCUUCCAAGAAGGAGAUCAAAGACAUCCUCAUCCAGUAUGACCGGACCCUGCUGGUAGCUGACCCUCGUCGCUGCGAGUCCAAAAAGUUUGGAGGCCCUGGUGCCCGCGCUCGCUACCAGAAAUCCUACCGAUAAGCCCAUCGUGACUCAAAACUCACUUGUAUAAUAAACAGUUUU
rnacentral:lncRNA from 1 species